AUGAGUCUCUCCGGUGCUGUGGGAUGGUGGGACGAGUGGCAGCUGCGCAUCCUCGUCCUCGCCAGCCUCUUCAUGCAGUACCUCCUCUACCUCUGUGUAUGGCUGCGCAGAUCUCCUUCCAUGUCUAGGAUGAGAGUGCUGGUGUGGAUCGUUUACAUAGGCAGCGAUGCCGUGGCGAUCUACGCCCUCGCAACCCUCUUCAACCGCCAGAAGCAGACAUUGGAUGGGGGGAGCACCGCCCUGGAGGUUCUAUGGGCGCCUGUCCUCCUCAUCCACCUCGGCGGCCAGCCAUUCAUAAGUGCCUACAGCCUCGAAGACAAUGAGCUAUGGAAACGGCAUACCAUAACCCUGGUGUCUCAGGUCACGGUUGCCUUGUACGUCUUCUGCAAGUGGUGGUCGGGCGAGAAGAGGUUGCUGGCAGCAGGGGUCUUACUCUUUCUAUUUGGCAUCCUCAAAUUCGCCCAGAAGCCAUGGGCCCUCAGGACCGCCAGCUUUAACAGCAUGCCGGCUUCGCUUCAAGUGGAACAUAAAGGGCGGACAUAUUCGCUUGAAGAAUAUGUACAAGAUGCAAAGAAAUGUCUACUGGACACGGAGAUGUCCGGGGGAAGGUAUGGGCUUAGAUCACUAAGCAAUUAUAUGUUUGUUGAUCGGUCUGUUCCAUACUCUCUUCGGAUUAAAGUCCUGUCAGGAUUUAUGCAUAGUAAAUAUGAGUAUGAAUACAAAGAGUUGCGGUCUAGGCUUGGAGAUACAUUCAGUAUGCUGUACACCAGAGUACAAUCCUUUGGCACUAUAUAUGGGUCCGGCUUCAUGUUUUUUCUUCCAUUCCUGGCCUUAUCUUCUAUAGUGCUUUUGGCCACGAGCCGCAAGGAUGGCCACGAGGAGAAGGACAUCACGGUGACAUACAUCCUAUUCUGUUUCACCGCCAUGCUGGAGUUCCUGCUUCCCUGCAUGGUUUUGUCCUACAUGAUUUUGGCCCAGUGCAUUUCAUCUUUCAGUGCGGGGUUCCUUAUGAAGCAUUUUGAAGGGUGGCACGACAUGGUAUCUCAGUGCAACAUCAUGUCCUUCUGUGUUCGCAAGAAGAAGCCCACAUUCUUGAUGAAGCUUGCUGCCUUCAACUUUCUAAGGGAGUUUGUCAACCAACAUUGGUAUAUUAAAAAAGAAGCUAGAGCCUACCAAAUCACGGGGGUGGUUCGCCAGCACGUGGAAGAUGGCUGGAAGAAUUACAUAUGUGGCGCCGAAAGUUACAGGAAAUUCAAUGAGCUUCGAGGCCAGUGGGCUCUAAGAAGACACAAGCAAAUAGGGUGGAGCUUGAAGAUGAAUUUCGACAAGAGCGUCCUCCUCUGGCACAUUGCCACGGACCUCUGCUUUUACCACCCCAACACAUCCCAUCAAUGUCGUCAACAAGCAGAAGCCACAUUGCGCAGCAGGGAGAUAUCCAACUAUAUGAUCUACCUGCUUCUCAUCCGUCCUGAGAUGCUAAUGCUCGGCAGUAGAUCGGAUCUCUUCACCAUGGCCAGCAACCAAAUUGGCAAGGACAUGACAGAAGAAAUUCUUGCAGGGGAGAUUCUUAGCAUGCCCCCAUCUUCAGAUAAUAUGAUUUCCGACGCACGUAGGCUCGCCCAAGAACUGAUGGUGCUGGAUAGUGAGGAAGAUAGGUGGAUAGUGAUCCAAGGUGUGUGGGUUGAGAUGCUCUGCUAUUCCGCCAGCAGGUGCAGGGGGUACCUACAUGCCAAGAGCUUGGGUGAUGGCGGGGAGUGUCUCACCACUAUCUGGCUCCUCUUGGCGGUGAUGGGGAUGGAGACCUUGGCGGACAGGAAUCACAGGCCAAAGUUUCAGGACGAAGAAGAGAAAGUAGAAGAAAUAGAAUUAGAAGAAGCACUUCCCGUCAACAAGAAGGAUGAGAAGAAGAAUCACAUACUUCCUUCCUGUUCCCAAGGCAGAGCCGGUCACCCCGCUCACGACGACCGCCUAGUCUAA
rnacentral:rRNA from 1 species